UACAGAGGGGGCAAGCGUUGUUCGGAAUUACUGGGCGUAAAGGGCGCGUAGGUGGCCUUCUAAGUUGAACGUGAAAUCCCUGGGCUCAACCCAGGAACUGCGUCCAAGACUGGGAGGCUUGAAUCCGGGAGAGGGAUGCGGAAUUCCAGGUGUAGCGGUGAAAUGCGUAGAUAUCUGGAGGAACACCGGUGGCGAAGGCGGCAUCCUGGACCGGUAUUGACACUGAGGCGCGAAAGCGUGGGUAGCAAACAGG
rnacentral:rRNA from 1 species